rnacentral:rRNA from 1 species
AUUGAACGCUGGCGGCAUGCCUAACACAUGCAAGUCGAACGGUUUAUGGAGCUUGCUUCAUAGAUAGUGGCGGACGGGUGAGUAAUAUGUAGGAAUCUGCCUUGAGGAGGGGGAUAACUUGGGGAAACUCAAGCUAAUACCGCGUAAGUCGGAGACGAGAAAGCAGGGGACCGAAAGGCCUUGCGCCUUAAGAUGAGCCUACAUCGGAUUAGCUAGUUGGUGGGGUAAAGGCCUACCAAGGCGAUGAUCCGUAGCUGGUCUGAGAGGAUGACCAGCCACACGGGGAGGGAGACACGCCCCAGACUCCUACGGGGGGAAGCAGUGGGGAAUAUUGGAGAAGGGGGGAAACCCUAAUCCAGAAAUGCCGGGUGUGGGAAGAAGGCCUUCGGGUUGUAAAGCACUUUCAGUGGGAAAGAAGGAUGUAUGGUAAAUACCCAUGCAUUUUGCCUUUAACCACAGAAGAAGCACCGGCUAACUCUGUGCCAGCCGCCGCCGUAA